rnacentral:rRNA from 1 species
CCUACGGGAGGCAGCAGUGGGGAAUCUUGCGCAAUGGGCGAAAGCCUGACGCAGCCACGCCGCGUGCGGGAUGAAGGCCCUAGGGUUGUAAACCGCUUUUAACAGGAACGAAAAUGACGGUACCUGUAGAAUAAGGUGCGGCCAACUACGUGCCAGCAGCCGCGGUGACACGUAGGCACCAAGCGUUGUCCGGAUUUAUUGGGCGUAAAGAGCUCGUAGGCGGUUCAGUAAGUCGGGUGUGAAAACUCUGGGCUUAACCCAGAGACGCCACUCGAUACUAUUGUGGCUAGAGUUCGGUAGGGGAGCGGGGAAUUCCUAGUGUAGCGGUGAAAUGCGCAGAUAUUAGGAGGAACACCGGUGGCGAAGGCGCCGCUCUGGGCCGAUACUGACGCUGAGGAGCGAAAGCGUGGGUAGCAAACAGGAUUAGAUACCCUGGUAGUCCACGCCGUAAACGGUGGGCACUAGGUGUGGGUUCCAACCAACGGAAUCCGCGCCGUCGCUAACGCAUUAAGUGCCCCGCCUGGGGAGUACGGCCGCAAGGUUAAACUCAAAGAUAUGCGNGNGANGCGACGACGACGACGAGAGGAG